rnacentral:rRNA from 1 species
AUUGAACGCUGGCGGCAUGCCUUACACAUGCAAGUCGAACGGCAGCGGACCUUCGGGUGCCGGCGAGUGGCGAACGGGUGAGUAAUAUAUCGGAACGUACCUUUCAGUGGGGGAUAACGUAGCGAAAGUUACGCUAAUACCGCAUAUUCUGUGAGCAGGAAAGCAGGGGAGUCGCAAGACCUUGCGCUGAUUGAGCGGCCGAUAUCAGAUUAGCUAGUUGGUGAGGUAAAGGCUCACCAAGGCGACGAUCUGUAGCGGGUCUGAGAGGAUGAUCCGCCACACUGGAACUGAGACACGGUCCAGACUCCUACGGGAGGCAGCAGUGGGGGAAUUUUGGACAAUGGGCGCAAGCCUGAUCCAGCCAUGCCGCGUGAGUGAAGAAGGCCUCGGUUGU